CGCUUGGAGUCGACUCGUAAUAUCCCGAAGUCGACUCGAGUCUCAGACUUUAGUUCAUAUUGACUUCUUAACUUAUCCAAAAUGUCUUGAACCAAAUCUAGAGACACUUAACCAUAAAAUUUACAAGAAUAUCACUGAAACGCUAGAUUGAAUUCAUUAGUAAACAUAAGAUAUACUCAAAUGCUUUGAACUCAUCAAAAUCAAAUAGGGUUAUAAUCAAUCACUCCACAAUCUCCCCCUUUUUGAUGAUGAUAAAAC
rnacentral:lncRNA from 1 species